CGGGCGGGGGUGGGGCGUGGGGGCGCGCCAGGGUUGCCACUAAAACAGGAUUUCCUAGUUCUCUGGACAACACAUCGAUGCCAUCAGGGGCGCAUUUAUUCCCCCAAUCUUAAAAACUCGUCGUUCAACACCCCGCAGGAGCCCCACGGAGCCACUGGGUGCGAAAGGCAUGAGGAAUUCCUUAUAUAGCCGCGGCCGCAGCAGCACAGGGCUGUGGCCGCCCAUCACCACACGCAGGUACCCGGGCGGGGGCAUCCCUCGGCCGCCGCCGCAGGGACUGUCCAGACAAUGACCAGGAGCAGAGGCUGUCCGCGCUGGAGCCCCGAGCACACACUCGCCUAAGAGAGGCACCAUCCAGCAACUCCCGCGUCUCCCUACGUUGGGAGAGCCCACGGGGCACCCACCGACACAAGUCGGGGUGUUUCAUUCUCUCCUAGUGCCUGUGGCUUUUUUCCCUUUAAAACAAAACAAACAAAACAAAACAAAACAAAAAACCCACCACCAACAACAACAAAAAACUCUGUAGGCAGGCCGAGGUGUGUGUUUCCCUGGCACAUCCGCGGAAAUCAAUACCCCGCGCAGCUGCACCGCGAGCCGCAGCCCCGUGCGCUCCUCGGGCCGCCCGCCCCCUCCCCCACCCGCCCCACUCGCGACUGUGAGCGCCAGCCCAGCUCCAUUAUCUGUCCUCUGCUCGCGCAUUGGGCCCAGGUAACAACUUCCCCAAACCGAAAGAACCAAAGCGAGGCGCAUGCACACAGCCCCGUGCCCGCCCGGACUCGGGCUGCCCGGGCGUCCCGACCUGUCUGUGCUGUUUCCCGGCCCGCAGACGGCGAGUCCACGCACACACCGGCCCAGUGGCAGCAGCUAGGAGCCACUAGAGCGUGCCCGGCCCCCGACGGGCACCGCAGGCGCGGGGUUCCAGCCCCCUGGGCGCCCGACUCACGGCGGCCCCGCGCGUCCCCAUCCCCGCCCGCCCGCGAGCGCGCGGGGCGCAACUUUCCCGCGGGCGCCCGACCCGGCGCGCAGCGCCCGCUCCCGCGCACACGCGCGCACGGCCGACACGCAGCCGACACGCAACCAGCCCGCGGCCGCCCGUCCUCUCCCGCCCGCGCCCGCCCCGCAGCCCGCGCCCGCCCGCCGCAAGUUUGUUCCCCGCCGCUGCGGCCUGCGCGGAGAGAGGAUCGCGCGCGGGGAGGCGCCGAGGGGCAGCAAGAGUGGAGAAAGUGCGGAAAGAAGCAACAGCCGCUCCACCCGCGGGCGGAAAAGUGGCCGGGCGCGGCGGCGGGAUGCGGCGCAGCUAACGGUCCCGGGCGGCCGCCGGAGCCGCUAGGCGCAGAGGCAGGCUAGCACCUGCGCAGUGAGAGAGAGUUCUUGUCACUGGUGACUCAUCGUGCAGUGAGCACAAGGAAGAGCAACGGGAUAGUGUCUCACAAGUGUAGGGCUGGAGCUACAGGAACCAUCCAGGUGCACUGGCUUUGCCUCUGCAUCUUUCUGUGCCACUGUCUCAUUCUGUUUCCGGCUGUGCAUGGAUGUGGAUGGCCCAGAAAGAGAGAGAACACGAAGGAGAAGGUUAGAGACCUGUGGUUCCACCAAGCUCUUGCUUGGCUAUUAAUUGCAUCCAGCUAUGUUGGUGCUGUAAUAGUCCCACCUGGGGUCAUUGUUAAUAACACUCAUUAAGAACUGAGUGUGGAUACUUUGCCCCUUCUUAGAAUUGGGCACAAAACACCCAUGGAAGGAGUUACAGAGACAAAGUUUGGAGCUGAGACAAAAUAAUGGACCAUCNAGAGACUGCCNNANCCGGGGAUCCAUCCCAUAAUCAGCNNCCAAACNCNGACACNAUUGCAUNCNCNAGCAAGAUUUUGCUGAAAGGACCCUGAUAUAGCUGUCUCUUGUGAGGCUAUGCCAGUGCCUGGCAAACACAGAAGUGGAUUCGCACAGUCAGCUAUAGGAUGGAACACAGGGUCCCCAAUGGAGGAUCUAGAGAAAGUACCCAAGGAGCUGAAGGGGUCUGCAACCCUAUAGGUGGAACAACAAUAUGAAUUAACCAGUACCCCAAGAGCUCGUGUCUCUAGCUGCAUAUGUAGCAGAAGAUGGCCUAGUUGGCCAUCAUUGGGAAGAGAGGCCCCUUGGUCUUGCAAACUUUAUAUGCCCCAGUACAGGGGAACACCAGGGCCAAGAAGUGGGAGUGGGUGGGUAGGGGAGUCGGGGAGUGGGUAUAGGGGACUUUCAGGAUAGCAUUUGAAAUGUAAAUGAAGAAAAUACCUAAUAAAAAUUGGAAAAAGGAAAAAAACGAAUUAGGAAGCUAACAUAUUGUUAUAAAAGUGCAAUAGCAACAGUUUAAAGGGUGUUGUGUUCUUUGCUAAUUAGGAUUUCACUUGAUCUCCAUAACAGUACAAUGACUGGAAGAUCCCUCGGAAACUGCGGGUCUUAGAGGUUACUUAACCAAUCUGUGCAGCCUAGGGUGGUCAGGGAUGGGGACACAGUGUGCUGUUGGGUUGAGGCGACUACAACCCUGGCCUUAACGGACAUCUAAACUAUUUAACCCAAAGUGAUUUGGGCUAGUUAUGGAAAGUGAAGUGUGUAACAGGGCUGACCAAGUGCAGACACCAUGUGUCUGGGUGAGAACUUGUCAUUUAAUGGUUUAGUGUCCUUUGCCUUGUUUAUUUCUCCUGAUCUCUGAAGUUAAGAGCUGCCCAGGUGGUACAAGGCAAGUCAUACCUCAAGGUUAUUGAUAGGGAAGUAGAUAUUGUUAGCUUAGAAGGUAGAUAUCUGCCCAGCUCUGGUACUUUAAAGGCAUAUUAUAAAUAUAAAGGUUUUUAAAUCUUUUAUCUGGGAACUGAACAAUCAAAGGUGGGGUUAGAGAUUAUUACCACACUUGAUCCUCCAUUCUUCAUGAAAUACAUCCCCUCUAAACCUGGAGGACUCAUCCUUGCUUGGCUUCUCUGACAUUCUCAAGCAGCUCCUUGUCAGGCCCUCUUAGUUGUUGACCUCCCUAAACUGCAUGCCAGAGAGCCAGGAUCUGCCCCAGAUUCUUUAUAUUUUCUCUCUCCACUUCGUUUUUCUGUUUUUGUGUUUCUCAUCUUCAUACCAGAGACUUAAUAUCUGCCUGCCAAUGAAUUAUAUCUAAGUUCUUAAGAUGGCCUUCAGCACCUACAAUUGCCCCACCUUAGAUGAUAUACUCUUUCUUUCCUGUCCUUCACUCUUUCCUAGCUGCACCAGCCUUGUGCCAUUCCUUGAAAUGCCAGACACAUUCCUACCUUGGCACAAAAGCCUACUUCUAAAUCCAAAUUGGAAUGCUCUCAUAAAAAUGUGGUACCUUGAUCAAUACGAAUUUUUAAAUGCUCUUAUUAAAGGAAUUCAUAAUGUAA
ensembl:processed_transcript